UACGUAGGGUGCAAGCGUUAAUCGGAAUUACUGGGCGUAAAGCGUGCGCAGGCGGUUAUGCAAGACAGAUGUGAAAUCCCCGGGCUCAACCUGGGAACUGCAUUUGUGACUGCAUGGCUGGAGUGCGGCAGAGGGGGGAUGGAAUUCCGCGUGUAGCAGUGAAAUGCGUAGAUAUGCGGAGGAACACCGAUGGCGAAGGCAGCCCCCCUGGGCCUGCACUGACGCUCAUGCACGAAAGCGUGGGGAGCAAACAGG
rnacentral:rRNA from 1 species